rnacentral:rRNA from 1 species
GAUGAACGCUGGCGGCGUGCCUAACACAUGCAAGUCGAGCGAUGAAAUUUUCUUCGGAAAACGGAUUAGCGGCGGACGGGUGAGUAACACGUGGGUAACUUACCUCAUAGUGGGGGAUAGCCUUUCGAAAGGAAGAUUAAUACCGCAUAACAUCAUUGAAUGGCAUCAUUCGAUGAUCAAAGGAUUUAUUCGCUAUGAGAUGGACCCGCGUCGCAUUAGCUAGUUGGUAAGGUAAUGGCUUACCAAGGCGACGAUGCGUAGCCGACCUGAGAGGGUGAUCGGCCACAUUGGGACUGAGACACGGCCCAGACUCCUACGGGAGGCAGCAGUGGGGAAUAUUGCACAAUGGGGGAAACCCUGAUGCAGCAACGCCGCGUGAGUGAUGACGGUCUUCGGAUUGUAAAGCUCUGUCUUUGGGGACGAUAAUGACGGUACCCAAGGAGGAAGCCACGGCUAACUACGUGCCAGCCGCCGCUGUAA